UCUCCCACUGUAUAGGAGCAGACAGUGAUGUUCAUGCUGUCUCAUGCUGACGGUCCUCUCCCACUGUAUAGGACCAGACAGUGCAGGAGCUGGAGCUGCGUGUGAAGCAGCUGUCAGUGGAGGUGGAGAACGGUAAUGUGCUGAGGCAGAAGGUGACCCAGGAGAAGGGUCAGCUGGAGAUCCACAUCGCCACCAUCAGCUCUGAGCUUCAGGAGGCCAACCGACAGAGGGUGUCUCUGCUGAGGGAGAAGGAGCAGCAGAGUGAGCAACAUGAAGACACACUGCAGAAGCUCCAGACCAAACAUGAGGCUGACAUCAGCCACUUCCAACAGGAACACACACUCUCCGCUGCUAAGAACGCACUGCGACGGCCUCUGCAAUGCAGUGCAGCAAGGCAACACAGUGUUCCAUUGGAAAUGAAUGUACUUCUGGUAUACCAAAAUGGAAUUACGCUGUCG